UACGUAGGGCGCAAGCGUUAUCCGGAAUUAUUGGGCGUAAAGAGCUCGUAGGCAGUUUGUCGCGUCUGCCGUGAAAGUCCGGGGCUCAACUCCGGAUCUGCGGUGGGUACGGGCAGACUAGAGUGAUGUAGGGGAGACCGGAAUUCCUGGUGUAGCGGUGAAAUGCGCAGAUAUCAGGAGGAACACCGGUGGCGAAGGCGGGUCUCUGGGCCGAUACUGACGCUGAGGAGCGAAAGCGUGGGGAGCGAACAGG
rnacentral:rRNA from 1 species